UAUUAUAUACUUCUUAUUCAAAACUUUCGACUAGACGGCUACUAGCCUCCUCGCCAUUAAUUUGUGCUAACUUGCCACUGAAAAUCUGUUGCAAACAAUAUGAAUCAUAAUGUACCGCAACUUCUAAUUACUUGAUGCCCUUCUUACAAUUUACGAUGUAUUUUUGGGUCUCUUAAGAUGUGGGAAGAAAGUAGGGAAUC